rnacentral:rRNA from 1 species
AGAGAGAGACAUGCGUGCAUAUCAAUAAGCGGAGGAAAAGAAACUAACAAGGAUUCCCCUAGUAACGGCGAGUGAAGCGGGAAGAGCUCAAAUUUGAAAUCUUAAAGGGUUUCCCUUUACGAAUUGUAGUUUAAAGAAGUGUUUUCUGUUGAGGUUUUGGUAAAAGUUCUUUGGAAUAGGACAUCAUAGAGGGUGAGAAUCCCGUAUUUGACCUUUACUUUCAACUUUGUGAUACACUUUCAAAGAGUCGGAUUGUUUGGGAAUGCAGUCCAAAAUGGGUGGUAAAUUUCAUCUAAAGCUAAAUAUUGGCGAGAGACCGAUAGCGAACAAGUACCGUGAGGGAAAGAUGAAAAGAACUUUGAAAAGAGAGUUAAACAGUACGUGAAAUUGUCAAAAGGGAAGCGUUUGACACCAGUGUUGUUUUUCUGAAAAUCAAUUAAAGAACUGUUUAUGCUAAGUUGUUUAGACUUUAUCAGCUAUCUGUUUAGUUUUGAGCUUUUCUUUAAUGCACUUUUCAGUUAACAAGUCAACAUCAAUUUCUUUUGCUGUAAAAAAGCUUGAGGAAGGUGGCUUGAGAUUCGUCUUAAGUGUUUAUAGCCUCUUGCCUAUGCAGUCGGAGAGAUUGAGGUCUGCAGCGUAGAUCCUUCGGGGCUAAAUGCAUUUGUGCUAAGUUAUAGCAUUUUAUAGACAACUUGUUGACUAUGAUUUGUCUUGUAGCUUACUCGCUUAUGUUAUUUUACCUACGCUUAGGAUGUUGACGCAUGAGAUAUACGC